GCGGCAGGCUUAACACAUGCAAGUCGAACGCUGUAGCAAUACAGAGUGGCAGACGGGUGAGUAACGCGUGGGAACGUGCCUUUCGGUUCGGAAUAACUCAGGGAAACUUGAGCUAAUACCGGAUACGCCCUUCGGGGGAAAGAUUUAUUGCCGAAAGAUCGGCCCGCGUCCGAUUAGCUAGUUGGUGAGGUAACGGCUCACCAAGGCGACGAUCGGUAGCUGGUCUGAGAGGAUGAUCAGCCACACUGGGACUGAGACACGGCCCAGACUCCUACGGGAGGCAGCAGUGGGGAAUAUUGGACAAUGGGCGCAAGCCUGAUCCAGCCAUGCCGCGUGAGUGAUGAAGGCCCUAGGGUUGUAAAGCUCUUUCACCAGGGACGAUAAUGACGGUACCUGGAUAAGAAGCCCCGGCUAACUUCGUGCCA
rnacentral:rRNA from 1 species